rnacentral:rRNA from 1 species
CCUACGGGAGGCAGCAGUGAGGAAUAUUGGACAAUGGGCGUAAGCCUGAACCAGCCAAGUCGCGUGAGGGAUGAAGGUUCUAUGGAUCGUAAACCUCUUUUAUAAGGGAAUAAAGUGCGGGACGUGUCCCGUUUUGUAUGUACCUUAUGAAUAAGGAUCGGCUAACUCCGUGCCAGCAGCCGCGGUAAUACGGAGGAUCCGAGCGUUAUCCGGAUUUAUUGGGUUUAAAGGGUGCGUAGGCGGCCUUUUAAGUCAGCGGUGAAAGUCUGUGGCUCAACCAUAGAAUUGCCGUUGAAACUGGGAGGCUUGAGUAUGUUUGAGGCAGGCGGAAUGCGUGGUGUAGCGGUGAAAUGCUUAGAUAUCACGCAGAACCCCGAUUGCGAAGGCAGCCUACCAAGCCAUGACUGACGCUGAUGCACGAAAGCGUGGGGAUCAAACAGGAUUAGAUACCCUUGUAGUC